rnacentral:rRNA from 1 species
UGAACGCUAGCGGCAGGCUUAAUACAUGCAAGUCGAGGGGUAACAGGGAAGCUUGCUUCCGCUGACGACCGGCGCACGGGUGCGUAACGCGUAUGCAACCUACCUCUAACUGGGGAAUAGCCCCGAGAAAUCGGGAUUAAUACCUCAUAACAUUUAUCAUUCGCAUGUUUGAUAAAUUAAAGUUUCGACGGUUAGAGAUGGGCAUGCGUGACAUUAGUUAGUUGGUGAGGUAACGGCUCACCAAGACAGCGAUGUCUAGGGGUUCUGAGAGGAUUUUCCCCCACACUGGUACUGAGACACGGACCAGACUCCUACGGGAGGCAGCAGUAAGGAAUAUUGGUCAAUGGACGAAAGUCUGAACCAGCCAUGCCGCGUGCAGGAUGACGGCCCUACGGGUUGUAAACUGCUUUUGUAUAGGAAGAAACCUCACUACGUGUAGUGGGCUGACGGUACUAUACGAAUAAGCACCGGCUAACUCC